rnacentral:rRNA from 1 species
GCCNGGGNGGCUNUNUGGUANUGGGGGAUAACGUUCGGNAACGGACGCUAAUACCGCAUACGUCCUACGGGAGAAAGCAGGGGACCUUCGGGCCUUGCGCUAUCAGAUGAGCCUAGGUCGGAUUAACUAGUUGGUGAGGUAAUGGCUCACCAAGGCUACGAUCCGUAACUGGUCUGAGAGGAUGAUCAGUCACACUGGAACUGAGACACGGUCCAGACUCCUACGGGAGGCAGCAGUGGGGAAUAUUGGACAAUGGGCGAAAGCCUGAUCCAGCCAUGCCGCGUGUGUGAAGAAGGUCUUCGGAUUGUAAAGCACUUUAAGUUGGGAGGAAGGGCAUUAACCUAAUACGUUAGUGCUUUGACGUUACCGACAGAAUAAGCACCGGCUAACUCUGUGCCAGCAGCCGCGGUAAUACAGAGGGUGCAAGCGUUAAUCGGAAUUACUGGGCGUAAAGCGCGCGUAGGUGGUUUGUUAAGUUGAAUGUGAAAUCCCCGGGCUCAACCUGGGAACUGCAUCCAAAACUGGCAAGCUAGAGUAUGGUAGAG